CUCUACAUUGGGGUUCGGUCCCAUUCACGGUUCCAAGGACCACGGAAGUCCCGGGAGUGUCCCCUGCACGCAAGAGAAGAUAACUGAGCUACCUAAACAUACAGAUACAGUGGCCAGGCAAAGGAUGAAAUGAAGAUGGGAGGAAGUUACACUGGAGAGAUGGCAAAGACAAACUGACACGGGCG
rnacentral:lncRNA from 1 species